GAUGAACGCUGGCGGCGUGCCUAAUACAUGCAAGUCGAGCGAAGCGGGGACGGGGGAGUAAAACGUGGAUAAACUCCCAUUAAACUGGGGAAACUUCCGGAAACCGUUGCUAAACCCGACAAUGAUAGGUUGAUCCGCGCUGCAUUUGCUAGUUGGUAAGGUAACGGCGUACCCAGGCAACGAUGCAUACCCGACCUGGGAGGGUGAUCGGCCACACUGGAACUGAGACACGGUCCAGACUCCUACGGGAGGCAGCAGUAGGGAAUCUUCCGCAAUGGGCGAAAGCCUGACGGAGCAACGCCGCGUGAGUGAUGAAGGUCUUCGGAUCGUAAAACUCUGUUAUUAGGGAAGCGGUACCUAAUCAGAAAGCCACGGCUAACUACGUGCCAGCAGCCGCGGUAAUAC
rnacentral:rRNA from 1 species